rnacentral:miRNA from 1 species
CCAAACCACUCGUGCCUGGAG